GACAGAGGUGCCAAGCGUUAGGCGGAAUCACUGGGCUUAAAGCGUGUGUAGGCGGACUUCUAAGUACCUUGUGAAAUCCCCCGGCUCAACCGGGGAACUGCUGGGUAUACUGGGAGUCUUGAGCCACUUAGGGGUCGCCGGAACAAAUGGUGGAGCGGUGAAAUGCGUAGAUAUCAUUUGGAACGCCAAUGGUGAAAACAGGCGACUGGGAGUGUGCUGACGCUGAGACACGAAAGCCAGGGGAGCGAACGGG
rnacentral:rRNA from 1 species